GUGUAGCAUAUCGUUUAGGCUUUGUCAAGAUAUUAUCACUCAGGGUAUAUGCCAAUAAAUAGUCAAUAAAAAGGAAUCGAUUAACACAAUUUGGCGCACAAAAUGAUCAUAUGAUAAGCACAUGACACACAUAAAGAUUAGACAUUGAUUAGGAAACUAGCUUAUGAAACAAUAUACAAAAACAAAAACAAUUAGAAUGAGCUACUAUGUGUUAUGUUGUGGUUAUAGUAGAUACAUAUUAGAGGCAAAUAUUGAGAAAGUGUACUUAAAGAAAACAAUGGCAAAAUUAUAACAACUAACCCAUUCCAAUACAAGCCCAAAUAGUAGAAAAUAACAUAUGCACAACUUCUUUAUUUUUUUUUCAUGAAAAAUAUCAGAAAACACAAGGAUAAAGUCAUAGUAAGAAAAAAAAAUAAUCAGCAAUUAUCUUACGCAUUGCGCGCUGCGGAGUGUACUCAUAUAUCAUCUAUGAUUUAGCCCAGGAGGGGGCAAAAUGUAUAAGAUGAUGGCUGUGUUUUUAUUUUAUUUUUUACUAUAUACUUGUGUUUCCUAAAGUGUUUUUAGUAGACUAACAAAGAUUAAA